CUACGGGGGGCUGCAGUAGGGAAUCUUCCGCAAUGGACGAAAGUCUGACGGAGCAACGCCGCGUGAGUGAUGAAGGUUUUCGGAUCGUAAAACUCUGUUGUUAGGGAAGAACAAGUACGAGAGUAACUGCUCGUACCUUGACGGUACCUAACCAGAAAGCCACGGCGAACUACGUGCCAGCAGCCGCGGUAAUACGUAGGUGGCAAGCGUUGUCCGGAAUUAGUGGGCGUAAAGCGCGCGCAGGCGGUCCUUUAAGUCUGAUGUGAAAGCCCACGGCUCAACCAUGGAGGGUCAUUGGAAACUGGGGGACUUGAGUGCAGAAGAGAAGAGUGGAAUUCCACGUGUAGCGGUGAAAUGCGUAGAGAUGUGGAGGAACACCAGUGGCGAAGGCGACUCUUUGGUCUGUAACUGACGCUGAGGCGCGAAAGCGUGGGGAGCAAACAGGAUUAGAUACCCCAGUAGUC
rnacentral:rRNA from 1 species